GACGUACUUACUGCAUACAUGCAACGGGUUAUGACGUCAUUGGUAGAGCGUCGAGUGGAUUGUUCGCUUUCGCCUCCCUCUUUGAAAUGAGAGCUAAGUGGCGAAAGAAGCGCAUGCGCAGGCUGAAGCGCAAAAGAAGAAAGAUGAGGCAGAGGUCCAAGUGAAGUGUCCUCCUGGUCCAGCUGUUCCGUCUGUGUUGGAAGCUGGACAUCCUUGAAGCCUGAGGACAAAUGAAUCAGCAGCUUGAUGCUCAGGAGGCGACUUGAACCCUGCUUGUUGGCAGGCUUUUUCUUUGGGACAUUCUGAACUCCUCAGUUCUUCAACUUUUGUCAUUUGUUUGUUCAUGCUGUGAUUAAAAGUUUUGGUUUUUAA